AGCAUAUCAAUAAGCGGAGGAAAAGAAACCAACAGGGAUUGCCUUAGUAACGGCGAGUGAAGCGGCAAAAGCUCAAAUUUGAAAUCUGGCGCCUUCGGCGUCCGAGUUGUAAUUUGAAGAAGGCUACUUUGGGGCUGGAGUUUGUCUAAGUUCCUUGGAACAGGACGUCACAGAGGGUGAGAAUCCCGUGAGAUAAGCUUCCCAGUUCUAUGUAAAGUGCUUUCGAAGAGUCGAGUUGUUUGGGAAUGCAGCUCUAAGUGGGUGGUAAAUUCCAUCUAAAGCUAAAUAUUGGCGAGAGACCGAUAGCGAACAAGUACAGUGAUGGAAAGAUGAAAAGAACUUUGAAAAGAGAGUGAAAAAGUACGUGAAAUUGUUGAAAGGGAAGGGCUUGAGAUCAGACAUGGUAUUUUGUAAACCUUCUCUCUCGUGGAGGGGGCCCCUUGCAGUUUACUGGGCCAGCAUCAGUUUGGGCGGUAGGAUAAUGACUAAGGAAUGUGACUUGCCUUCGGGGAAGUGUUAUAGCCUUGGUUGAUACUGCCAGCCUAGACUGAGGACCGCGUCUUUGACAAGGAUGUUGGCA
rnacentral:rRNA from 1 species